rnacentral:rRNA from 1 species
AUACGGAGGAUCCGAGCGUUAUCCGGAUUUAUUGGGUUUAAAGGGUGCGCAGGCGGGAUGUUAAGUCGGCGGUGAGAUUUUGUAGCUCAACUGUAAAAGGGCCUUCGAUAACGGCUUUCUUGGGUGGGGAAGAAGUUGGCGGGACUUGUGGGGUAGGGGUGUAAUUCUUAGAUAUCACGAGGAACUCCGAUUGCGCAGGCAGCUUACUAAACCACUACUGACGCUCAUGCACGAAGGCGUGUGGAUCAAACAGGAUUAGAUACCCUGGUAGUCCACGCAGUAAACGAUGAUUACUAGUUGUUUGCGAUACAAUGUAAGCGACUGAGCGAAAGCGUUAAGUAAUCCACCUGGGGAGUACGUUCGCAAGAAUGAAACUCAAAUGAAUGGGCGGGG